ACCAGUCAGUGCUCUGAUUGCAGUUGUGUACAGACCUCCAGACUACACUCUGAGGCCAUUCCUGAAAAACCUGGUAAGCCUAUUAGACUCAUUAGAGAUCAUGGACUGUCAUCCCAUCAUAGUGUGUGGUGAUUUUAAUGAGAAUGUUUUAUCCAUUGCAAACAAACCAAUCCUGGAGCUGUUUGAGUCUAGGGGAUACGCACAGGUCAUCACUGCCCCUACCACAGAGAAGAACACACUGCUUGACCUAAUUUUCAUUUCUCAGCCAGAGCGAUGUCUCCAUUCUGGAGUCAUGAAGACCUACCAUAGUUACCAUGACCCUGUAUACUGUGUAUUGUCCUGUGAUGAUUCAUGAACUAUAUCUUUGAAUACAAGCUGAGACACUCAGGACUGAACAGACUGCACAGCUUCUGUGACUGAGCCUCCAAAACACCUUCUUUGAAACCACACAUGAUAGAAGGGCUUUACGUUUGCAGCAGCACUACUAAAGUCGGCAGGAAUGUUGCUGCAGGAAAACAUCCCUGCAGAUCACCAUCAUUGUCAGACUGACUGUGCCUCCUUUGUGCAGUGUCAAGAUCCUCCCUAAAUGAGUGUUCCUCAGCUAUCCUGCUUCUGUGCUGCUUGCCACACAUCAAACACUGGCCGGAUGACAGGGAGGAUCCACUCUGAAGUCACUGGACAUGAUGAGGAUCAUAUGGGACUUUAUAGUUUCACAGAAAUGUUGUGCUCUUUGAUUACAGGUUUUAAAUGGACAUAAUGACUGCCUCUCUCUGAUCAACAGGCUAAAGGAUUGUUUUCAUUGUUAGUGCUCUGUACAGUGUAUGCUUAUUUAAUAUUUCAUCACAGAGCAAACCUUUAUUCAUUUAACAUAUUUUUAUUUUGUUUUAAUGUUGAAUUAACUGUGGGGAUUUUUUUAAGUGGGCACUCAGGAUGUCAUAUGACCAGAAAUGUGGUAACUGGAAUUCAACAGUAUGGGGAAAAAAAAUCUGCUAAGAACGAAACUGACGAAAAACCCCAAGAGAACUCAAAUUCAUUCCAUGUAAUCCAAUCUAAAACAUUUUAAACUGCUGAACAGCAACACAAACAGUGUUAAAGAAACAGUGUUAACAGAAUAAUUAUGAUGAGUUUGUACCAAAGUUUCAGGUCACAUGGCACACCUAGUGUGUAGUAGGGCAGGGCGAUAUGCCCAAAAAUAUUUAUCACGAUAUAUAUUUGAAAAUUCGCGAUAACGAUAUAACUGACGAUAUAAUUGAUGCGAGACAAAAUACA